UAUAUUUUAGUAUAUGAUGUAUGUAAGAUUUUGAUUCUUAAGGAAGUAGUUUAAUUCUGCUAAGUAUAG
rnacentral:tRNA from 1 species